CCCUGAUAAUCCAGUUGGUAAAGAAUCUGCCUGUAAUGCAGGAAACCCCGGUUCAAUUCCUGGGUCAGGAA
rnacentral:tRNA from 1 species